UUCACAUGUAUACGGUUACUGUGCCCGCUAUCAAACUAGGUCAGCGGUGAUACUUUUAGCGGCAAAUCUGCGAUCGAGUGCAUGUUGUGAAGAUGGAGAAUUCCUCAUUCCCUCCAUCCACUUCUCAAAGCUGAGAUAGUAUUGUGCAUCAGAUUAUUGAACAUCCUGAUUUUAAGGAAGCAUUGAAAGUACAACGUUCACUGGGUGAAGGUUCAUCCAGAUCUUCUACAGUCCAAAUUACAUCAGUUCAACCUCAGUGCAAACAGGACAACCAGUACAAGCACAGGCUGGGGCACUCAUAAGUACAGGAGCUAAAUAUUUCACCGAAAUAAUUCAAGUUCCCCUCCUCGGUACGCAUUAAGAACGACCUGGGGGCCCGCUACAUGUGGAAGUAGCUGCAAGAGCGACAGUGCUAGGAAGUUGUGUUAUCUAGAUGGCCACAUGAUCUGAAUCUUUUCCCCGAGGGAAGGCAAAGGGGGAUUUGCAACGGCAGGGCCACGCAAUCAGCUGUUUUAUUUUCGAGAAGAAUUGGUCCGCUUAAGAGUGAUUUAUAAUGAGUUGGUGAGCGCCUUUGACACAAAGAUCGAAUCUCUGGGAAAGAUUACCUGUGAACCCAAGCAUAGACACUCCAGAAUCAUCAGUACCUUCAGGUGGUAAAAGGAAAAGUAUUAAUGAUCUGAACAAAUCUUCCCUUCACAUGAGGUUGAUUACCUGAAAGCAGUACUGGAUACAAACAACACUAUAGAUGAAGCUGUAGCAAGUGUUUUGGAUGAUAAGGUCCUAAUGCCAUACCAGUUUUUGAAGAUCAUUGUCAAAGAAAAUAUGUACCUAACUAGUGAAGGAAGAGACAAACUGGACAAAAAGCUAGUGCCUCAUGGGCUAACAAAGACAAUUUGAUUGACUGCAUAAUUAAUCCCAAUAAAAUGAUGAGUGCACUAGAAAACCUAUUGUCAGCACACUGGUGGAAUUUGUAACUGGCAGCUCAUACCUAAAAAAUGACUCCAGACCAUGGCUGUUAUUGAGUGGCGAUUCUACUCUACCACUUUUUCAGGCAGAUAGUUGUUUUAACAAGAUCAUUAUCCCUGUAGCUCAUGAAUCAUAUGCUUGAGGCAUUUAGAAAAGCACUGAUUACAAGCUUGCAAUGUGUUGGAGUAGGAUAUGGGAAAUUUUACCUCAUUUUUUCCAGUGUUAAGGCUUAUCUUUAAAAGUGUUGUGUUCUUUUUUUAUUCAGAUUAAUGCAUUUGGAAAUUAAUUCUACUGUUUUCAAAUUUUACAGAAAAGUAAGAAUUGUGGGUUUCAAAUCAGAUUACACAGCUUUAAGCAGUUAUGUUACAGAAAUGGAGAAAUCCAACUGUUAUCUGUCAACCUUAAUAACACAUGAAUAUCAUCUAGUCAAAGUCUUGAAAACACAUUGACCUUUGUAGAAAUUAGACAAAACAGUUGAACAAUAUAUUGUUUGAGAAUACUGUUCAAUUUUUGGGAGUAAAUUCUGUGGUACAAUUAAUUUGUUACUAAGUUGAAAAAAGCAGAUUAUUAGAUCCUGAAUAAUAAAUCCAUGUUUACACUUGAGUUUGAACAGUUAGUUGGGUGUAGUUAUGUUGUAACCAACUGUAGUUACCUUGCAAGGCACUGAAGCACAAUUCAAAACUUUUGAAUAAAAUUAAAGAGAUGAAGGUUUCAACAAGCAUGCUGAAAGAUUGAGGGGAUCAAAUGUUGCAAAAAUUCCUCAAAAUCAUCAAUCAUUUUCCCCACCAAUUUCUUAAAAUAACAAGAUUAGUAUCAUCACUAAGCAAAUCUUUAGCAGGCUCAAUAGCCAUAUAUAUAUUUUUUAAAGCAAUAAAGUAUCACCAAUGACUGACCCAACUUGAUAGCGGGCACAAUAACCUUAUAUAUUUGUAAGCAAUGACCUAUACUUAAUUUUGUAAUGCCUUAGAUAUAUCUGAAUGAAAAAGGAAUAAAUAUUUGCUGUAUACUGUAAAUAUAUUUGUAAUUGAAUGAAUGUAUAUAAAUUAUGUGAUUAGCCCCAAACAUAUGAAACAAUGCCAUAUAUAUAUUCAAGAUAGCCAUAUAUAUUUCAUUAACUGUAAAUAUUUGUUGCUAUAUAAUACUGUCCUAUAUGGCACCCCAUAAUAUGUGCACCCCAUUAAAGUCUCACCUUUAAUUGUAAUAAUUCUUUUG